rnacentral:rRNA from 1 species
GUGGUGUGACUGCGUACCUUUUGUAUAAUGGGUCAGCGACUUAUAUUUUGUAGCAAGGUUAACCGUAUAGGGGAGCCGUAGGGAAACCGAGUCUUAACUGGGCGAAUAGUUGCAAGGUAUAGACCCGAAACCCGGUGAUCUAGCCAUGGGCAGGUUGAAGGUUGGGUAACACUAACUGGAGGACCGAACCGACUAAUGUUGAAAAAUUAGCGGAUGACUUGUGGCUGGGGGUGAAAGGCCAAUCAAACCGGGAGAUAGCUGGUUCUCCCCGAAAGCUAUUUAGGUAGCGCCUCGUGAACUCAUCUUCGGGGGUAGAGCACUGUUUCGGCUAGGGGGCCAUCCCGGCUUACCAAACCGAUGCAAACUCCGAAUACCGAAGAAUGUUAUCACGGGAGACACACGGCGGGUGCUAACGUCCGUCGUGAAGAGGGAAACAACCCAGACCGCCAGCUAAGGUCCCAAAGUCAUGGUUAAGUGGGAAACGAUGUGGGAAGGCAUAGACAGCCAGGAUGUUGGCUUAGAAGCAGCCAUCAUUUAAAGAAAGCGUAAUAGCUCACUGGUCGAGUCGGCCUGCGCGGAAGAUGUAACGGGGCUAAACCAUGCACCGAAGCUGCGGCAGCGACGCUUAGGCGUUGUUGGGUAGGGGAGCGUUCUGUAAGCCGUUGAAGGUGAACUGUGAGGUUUGCUGGAGGUAUCAGAAGUGCGAAUGCUGACAUAAGUAACGAUAAAGCGGGUGAAAAACCCGCUCGCCGGAAGACCAAGGGUUCCUGUCCAACGUUAAUCGGGGCAGGGUGAGUCGACCCCUAAGGCGAGGCCGAAAGGCGUAGUCGAUGGGAAACAGGUUAAUAUUCCUGUACUCGGUGUUACUGCGAAGGGGGGACGGAGAAGGCUAGGCUAGCCGGGCGACGGUUGUCCCGGUUUAAGCGUGUAGGGGGGUGUUCCUGGUAAAUCCGGAACGCUAUCAACCCUGAGGCGUGAUGACGAUGCACUACGGUGCAGAAGUAGUUGAUGCCCUGCUUCCAGGAAAAGCCUCUAAGCAUCAGGUAACAUCAAAUCGUACCCCAAACCGACACAGGUGGUCAGGUAGAGAAUACCAAGGCGCUUGAGAGAACUCGGGUGAAGGAACUAGGCAAAAUGGUGCCGUAACUUCGGGAGAAGGCACGCUGGCGCGUAGGUGAAGAGACUUGCUCUCGGAGCUGAAGCCAGUCGCAGAUACCAGCUGGCUGCAACUGUUUAAUAAAAACACAGCACUGUGCAAACACGAAAGUGGACGUAUACGGUGUGACGCCUGCCCGGUGCUGGAAGGUUAAUUGAUGGGGUCAGCCGCAAGGCGAAGCUCUUGAUCGAAGCCCCAGUAAACGGCGGCCGUAACUAUAACGGUCCUAAGGUAGCGAAAUUCCUUGUCGGGUAAGUUCCGACCUGCACGAAUGGCGUAAUGAUGGCCAGGCUGUCUCCACCCGAGACUCAGUGAAAUUGAACUCGCUGUGAAGAUGCAGUGUACCCGCGGCAAGACGGAAAGACCCCGUGAACCUUUACUAUAGCUUGACACUGAACAUUGAGCCUUGAUGUGUAGGAUAGGUGGGAGGCUUUGAAGUGUGGACGCCAGUCUGCAUGGAGCCAACCUUGAAAUACCACCCUUUAAUGUUUGAUGUUCUAACUCGGCCCC